rnacentral:lncRNA from 1 species
AGUCCCUAAUACAGUCUUUCGCUGGAGCCCAAGGUCCCGGUUGAACUCAGCAAACGGUGGGAGGUGGGGAAAGGAGGUGGCCCUUCAUGUCAACACCCUGCACCUUCAGGUGUCUCUGUGUACUCCCAGGAACUAAGAGGAGACAAACCGAGGAGACUAUACUCACGUUCAGGCUCCUGCAAGCUGUCGUCGGAAUGUGUGUCCAAGAUGAGGAGGACAGCGGGCUCCCCUGUCCCCACCUUUCCCUGUGGAGUGGAAAUACACAUCAGCAUUUCAGGGCUUGGAGUAGAGAGAAAGGAAAUAAAUGGUGACAACAGUCCAAGUACAGUUCCACAGACCCACCUUGGCACCUACCUGCCCAUACCCUUCCUAGGAAGUGAUCCGUCUGCUCC